rnacentral:lncRNA from 1 species
GGCAGGAUGGGAAUUGUUGAUCCUGGCUCAUCUCAGAGCGGAAGUGACGAACGGUUGCUCAGGCAACGCCCCCUCCCGGUGCACACUGGGAAGCGUAGUUCUCCCUCUCACACGCUGGCUCUAUUGGAGGAGGGGCCGUAACUCGUCAGUUCGCCGCGCCCCUCCCCGCUCCCUGAUUGGCGGAGAAAGCGCGGAACAGAGACUCGGCGCGUGGGAGCUGAGGACAGACAAGUCUGAGGAGCAGAGCAGGAGCUCUGGGAAGGAGAAGAGCAAUAUGAAGAUGGAGUGUAAGAUGAGGCCAGGUAACUUCUGUGGAGGGAGACAUGCUGGACAGGGCCUAGGAUUGGGGAGACAAUCAGUUGUGAGCCCCGGGCUCAGAAUUCUAAUUGUAGCUGUGAUGACAGAAUGGGAGGAGGGUUGAAGCUGAAGCCCUGGUGUGCGGGAGUAGCGAGAAGAGGAGCCUCACCACCAUUGCUUUUUCUUUUCCUCUUGUGUUGUGUUUCAUAGCAAGGGAAAAGAAGUCACGGGGACGGAGUCCAGCCCUGAGGUGAGAUGGAAAGUGAUCAAGAGCAGUGACAGCAUUGUUGAGGGGUGCAGGGCUCCAGGUAACUGGCAAUAUGGCGUGGGGUCAGAAGUUUACAUUCUCAGGCCUACGACUGCCUUUCGAGCUAAACAAUAUGUUCCUUUAAAGUUAGCAUGAGUACAUGUAAUCAUUUAUCAUUUUCUUGUGUUCUUUUGUUUAUGGUACAAGAUGUAUUCGAUCAAAGGAGGCGGGAGGUUAGUAGUAUGGGUUAAGGAUAUAGUUAAUUAAAAGAUCUGGUAGUUAAUGAAUUGUAAAUGAUGAAUUGUAGCACCUGUGAACAUCUUUGUAAACAAGUAAGGUAUAUAAGACAUGGCAAUGAAUAGUGAUGUGUGCAUGAUCUGAGAUUUUAUAUCUCCUUGCACCUUAUUUGACUCAAAUAAAGAUACUUGCUUCUCCA